rnacentral:rRNA from 1 species
CAGAGGGGGCAAGCGUUGUUCGGAAUUACUGGGCGUAAAGGGCGCGUAGGCGGCCCGCUAAGUCGAACGUGAAAUCCCCAGGCUCAACCUGGGAACUGCGCCCGAUACUGGCAGGCUUGAAUCCGGGAGAGGGAUGUGGAAUUCCAGGUGUAGCGGUGAAAUGCGUAGAUAUCUGGAGGAACACCGGUGGCGAAGGCGGCAUCCUGGACCGGUAUUGACGCUGAGGCGCGAAAGCUAGGGGAGCAAACGGGAUUAGAUACCCCGGUAGUCCUAGCCCUAAACGAUGAAUGCUUGGUGUGGCGGGUAUCGAUCCCUGCCGUGCCGAAGCUAACGCAUUAAGCAUUCCGCCUGGGGAGUACGGUCGCAAGGCUG